rnacentral:rRNA from 1 species
GACGAACGCUGGCGGCGUGCUUAACACGUGCAAGUCGAACGAUGAAGCUGGAGCGUGCUGCGGUGGAUGAGUGGCGAACGGGUGAGUAACACGUGAGAAAUCUGCCCUUCACUCUGGGAUAACUGCGGGAAACUGUAGCUAAUACCGGAUACUUUCCCUGGUGGGCAUCCACUAGGUACGAAAGAAGUUCCGUGAAGGAUGAUCUCGCGGCCUAUCAGCUAGUUGGUGAGGUAAUGGCUCAACAAGGCGACGAACGGUAGCCGGCCUGAGAGGGUGACCGGCCACCCUGGGAAUGAGACACGGCCCAGACUCCUAAGGGAGGCAGCAGUGGGGAAUACUGCACAAUGGGCGAAAGCCUGAUGCAGCAAAGCCGCGUGAGGGAUGAAGGCCUUCGGGCUGUAAAACUCUUUUAGCAGGGAAGAAGCGAAAGUGACGGUACCUGCAGAAAAAGCACCGGCUAACUACGUGCCAGCCGCCGCAGUAA